rnacentral:rRNA from 1 species
ACGCCGCGUGCGGGAUGAAGGCCUUCGGGUUGUAAACCGCUUUCAGUAGGGAAGAAGCGAAAGUGACGGUACCUACAAAAGAAGCACCGGCUAACUAUGUGCCAGCAGCCGCGGUAAUACAUAGGGUGCAAGCGUUGUCCGGAAUUAUUGGGCGUAAAGAGCUCGUAGGUCGUUUGUUACGUCGGAUGUGAAAACCUGAGGCUCAACCUCAGGCCUGCAUUCGAUACGGGCAAACUAGAGUUUGGUAGGGGAGACUGGAAUUCCUGGUGUAGCGGUGGAAUGCGCAGAUAUCAGGAGGAACACCAAUGGCGAAGGCAGGUCUCUGGGCCAAUACUGACACUGAGGAGCGAAAGUCUGGGGAGCGAACAGGAUUAGAUACCCUGGUAGUCCAGACCGUAAACGGUGGGCACUAGUUGUGGGAACCUUCCACGGUUUCUGCGACGCAGCUAACGCAUUAAGUGCCCCGCCUGGGGAGUACGAUCGCAAGAUUAAAACUCAAAUGAAUUGACGG